rnacentral:lncRNA from 1 species
GACAUCAGCCUACAAAAGCUACUCUGCAACUUCCAAGCCUGAAUCAUGAACUCAAUUCACCUCCCCCUCACCACCAGAAGCUAAAAAAAAUUAGAAGCAGCUAGACAGUGUUAGGUAUUUUUAAUCCAAACAGGCUCCCCAAGGUAUCUAUUGAGGUCAUCAGUCUCCUAUGAGAGGAAUGUGAAGCGGUCCCUCAAAUUGAGGUCUGACAGCAACCCCAGCCAUGGCAGCAGCAGUUCCAGUGCACAAGCUUUGCUCCAAGAGCUUUAGGGUCCUCGGUCUCCAACUCUGCUCCAGUUGAUCAGACAUUAAUGAAGUCAUGGUUUCAAUACAUCAACAUGAGCGUUAACCUUUGGACUUUGAUCCAUUCGUGUGGAUAAAGUGAAAAUCCAACUGAUACAGAUUUUUUAAAAUACGAAAUAAGAUACAUGAA